rnacentral:rRNA from 1 species
GACGAACGCUGGCGGCGUGCUUAACACAUGCAAGUCGAACGGAAAGGCCCUGCUUUUGUGGGGUGCUCGAGUGGCGAUGGCGUGAGUAACACGUGAGUAACCUGCUCUUCACUUUGGUAUAACUUCAGGAAACUGGACUUAAUAUCGUAUAGCAUCUCCUGCUGCAUGGUGGGCGUUGGAUCGUUUCGGCGGUUGGGGAUGGAAGGGCGGGUUAUCAGCUUGCUGGUGGGGUAGUGGUUUACCAAGGCUUAGACGGGUAGCCGGCCUGAGAGGGUGACCGGCGACAAGGGGACUGAGAUAGGGACCAGUCGGCUAUAGGAGGCAGCAGGGGGAAAAAUGACACAGUGGGCGGAAGCGGGAGGAAGCGGCGCCGGGGUCGGGAAGACGGACUUCGGGGAGUAAACCGCUUUCGGCUGUGACGCAGCGGGAGUGACGGUAAUGGAUAAAGAAGCACCGGCUAACUACGUG